rnacentral:rRNA from 1 species
AUGGGCCAGCCGCCGGGGCCGUGGACGUUGCCGGUGAUCGGCAGUCUGCACCACAUAGCCGGGCAGCUCCCUCACCGGGCCUUGCGCGACUUGGCGCGGCGGCAUGGGUGGCCCGUCAUGCUGCUCCAGCUUGGCGAGGUGCCCACGCUCGUCGUCUCCUCCCGCUCCGGCGCUCGCGAAGUGAUGAGGACCCACGACGCUUCGUUCGCCACACGGCCCAUGAGCUCUGCCGUGCGCGUGAUCACCAACGGCGGGCGGGACAUCGCCUUAGACCCCUAUGGCGACCACUGGCGACAGAUGCGCCGGAUAGCCGUCACCGAGCUCCUCACCGCCCGCCGAGUCCUCUCCUUCCGUGCAAUCCGGGAGGAGGAAGUCGCCGCCAUGCUCCGCGCCAGCGCUGCCAGCGGGGAAGAGAUCGACAUGCGCACGCGGCUGUCUGCGAUGGUGGCCGACAGCACCGUGCACUAG